AAAUUGAAGAGUUUGAUCAUGGCUCAGAUUGAACGCUGGCGGCAGGCCUAACACAUGCAAGUCGAACGGUAACAGGAAGCAGCUUGCUGCUUUGCUGACGAGUGGCGGACGGGUGAGUAAUGUCUGGAAACUGCCUGAUGGAGGGAUAACUACUGGAAACGGUAGCUAAUACCGCAUAACGUCGCAAGACCAAAGAGGGGGACCUUCGGGCCUCUUGCCAUCGGAUGUGCCCAGAUGGGAUUAGCUAGUAGGUGGGGUAACGGCUCACCUAGGCGACGAUCCCUAGCUGGUCUGAGAGGAUGACCAGCCACACUGGAACUGAGACACGGUCAGACUCCUACGGGGAGGCAGCAGUGGGGAAUAUUGCACAAUGGGCGCAAGCCUGAUGCAGCCAUGCCGCGUGUAUGAAGAAGGCCUUCGGGUUGUAAAGUACUUUCAGCGGGGAGGAAGGGAGUAAAGUUAAUACCUUUGCUCAUUGACGUUACCCGCAGAAGAAGCACCGGCUAACUCCGUGCCAGCAGCCGCGGUAAUACGGAGGGUGCAAGCGUUAAUCGGAAUUACUGGGCGUAAAGCGCACGCAGGCGGUUUGUUAAGUCAGAUGUGAAAUCCCCGGGCUCAACCCGAACUGCAUCUGAUACUGGCAAGCUUUGAGUCUCGUAGAGGGGGGUAGAAUUCGGGUGUAGCGGUGAAAUGCGUAGAGAUCUGGAGGAAUACCGGUGGCGAAGGCGGCCCCCUGGACGAAGACUGACGCUCAGGUGCGAAAGCGUGGGGAGCAAACAGGAUUAGAUACCCUGGUAGUCCACGCCGUAAACGAUGUCGACUUGGAGGUUGUGCCCUUGAGGCGUGGCUUCCGGAGCUAACGCGUUAAGUCGACCGCACGGGGAGUACGGCCGCAAGGUUAAAAAACUCAAAUGAAUUGACGGGGGGCCCGCACAAGCGGUGGAGCAUGUGGUUUAAUUCGAUGCAACGCGAAGAACCUUACCCUCGUCUUGACAUCCACGGAAGUUUUCAGAGAUGAGAAUGUGCCUUCGGGAACCGUGAGACAGGUGCUGCAUGGCUGUCGUCAGCUCGUGUUGUGAAAUGUUGGGUUAAGUCCCGCAACGAGCGCAACCCUUAUCCUUUGUUGCCAGCGGUCCGGCCGGGAACUCAAAGGGAGACUGCCAGUGAUAAACUGGAGGAAGGUGGGGAUGACGUCAAGUCAUCAUGGCCCUUGACGACGGGGCUACACGUGCUACAAUGGCGCAUACAAAGAGAAGCGACCUCGCGAGAGCAAGCGGACCUCAUAAAGUGCGUCGUAGUCCGGAUUGGAGUCUGCAACUCGACUCCAUGAAGUCGGAAUCGCUAGUAAUCGUGGAUCAGAAAUGCCACGGUGAAUACGUUCCCGGGCCUUGUACACACCGCCCGUCACACCAUGGGAGUGGGUUGCAAAAGAAGUAGGUAGCUUAACCUUCGGGAGGGCGCUUACCACUUUGUGAUUCAUGACUGGGGUGAAGUCGUAACAAGGUAACCGUAGGGGAACCUGCGGUUGGAUCACCUCCUUACCUUAAA
rnacentral:rRNA from 1 species